rnacentral:rRNA from 1 species
AUUGAACGCUGGCGGCAGGCCUAACACAUGCAAGUCGAACGGAGUGGAGGACGGGUGAGUAAUGUCUGGGAAACUGCCUGAUGGAGGGGGCUAACUACGGGAAACGGUAGCUACUACCGCAUACUAUCAGAUGAGCCUCGGUCGGAUUAGCUAGUGGGGGGGGUAAAGGCCUACCAAGGCGAAGAUCCGUACCUGGUCUGAGAGGGUGAUCAGUCACACUGGAACUGAGACACGGUCCAGACUCCUACGGGAGGCAGCAGUGGGGAAUAUUGGGCAAGGGGCGAAAGCCUGAUCCAGCCAUGCCGCGUGUGUGAAGAAGGUCUUCGGAUUGUAAAGCACUUUAAUUUGGGAGGCGGUACCAAAAGAGUAAGCACCGGCUAACUUCGUGCCAGCCGCCGCGGUAAUUC